rnacentral:lncRNA from 1 species
AUUCCAACAGAAUAAUAAAGAUGGAAUAAUAGAAGUUCUCUUCAUGAAUACAAAAGAAAUAAUACCUCUUACCGUAAAGACACUGGAUAUCGAAGUAGUGAAGUAGUAGAAUACUCUUCUUCUUUUUAUCUAUAAUUUCUCUCUCUAGAGUUUCAGUGAAUUCGUAAGAAAUAAUGAAGGAAUGAGCUUCUAUUUAGAGAAGAAUGGAUUGAAUAGUAACUAAUUCCUGAACGGUCCAGAUUGAUUUACUUUUAAACGGACGGUUCAGAUUGAUUUACUAUUAAAACUUAAAGCAACGGUCCAUACUAAUUUACUAUUAAAACUUUAAACCAGCGAUCCAUAUUGAUUCACUAUUAUAACUUUCCACCAGCGGUCCAUAUUGAUUCACUAAUAUAAGUUCAACCAACAGUCUGAAAAAUUAGCACAUCUCCUCAUGGAAUAAUAUUGUACCUAAAUACCCGAAUGCACAAUACUAGAGUGAAUAGUAAUCGGGUGAAUAGUAACUCGUGAAUAGUAACUCAUGAAUAGUAACUUGUGAAUAGUAACUCAUGAAUAGUAACUUGUGAAUAGUAACUCGUGAAUAGUACUCCGACACGAAAAAUUUCUCAAAUACCCGAUUGAACAAUAUAACCUCCAGACAUCAAUUAUCAUCGGAGUAGAUGUCAAUUUCUACUAACACAUAAUCCCAACAUAAUAAAACUAUCAAAUUCAUCUUUAAUCAACACGAACUUAUUCAUCAUUAAUAUUAUAACUCACAAUAUUUAGCAACCAGAUUGUUCCCAGGAAAGAAUGACCAAACCUCUCCUUGACAAAACUUCUAGACAUUGUAAAUAUUGCAAUUUAUUAAUAUGAAUAACUUUGUCGUCUCAAUUAUUGGUUUAAUAAUAUAACAUAUAAUGCAGAUGAUACUGUGACAAUAAUCGAAUCAAUAAUAUGAGAGAUAUGAUGCAGCAAUUACUGUAGCAAUAAUUGAGUAUAACUGAGUGACUUCUCACGUAAGCAUCAAUAAUCAAUACCGUGUGCUACUAUGCAACCACGCGUAUUACUGUAC